GGGUUGUGAGGUUAAGCGACUAAGCGUACACGGUGGAUGCCCUGGCAGUCAGAGGCGAUGAAGGACGUGCUAAUCUGCGAUAAGCGUCGGUAAGGUGAUAUGAACCGUUAUAACCGGCGAUUUCCGAAUGGGGAAACCCAGUGUGUUUCGACACACUAUCAUUAACUGAAUCCAUAGGUUAAUGAGGCGAACCGGGGGAACUGAAACAUCUAAGUACCCCGAGGAAAAGAAAUCAACCGAGAUUCCCCCAGUAGCGGCGAGCGAACGGGGAGGAGCCCAGAGCCUGAAUCAGUGUGUGUGUUAGUGGAAGCGUCUGGAAAGGCGCGCGAUACAGGGUGACAGCCCCGUACACAAAAAUGCACAUGCUGUGAGCUCGAUGAGUAGGGCGGGACACGUGGUAUCCUGUCUGAAUAUGGGGGGACCAUCCUCCAAGGCUAAAUACUCCUGACUGACCGAUAGUGAACCAGUACCGUGAGGGAAAGGCGAAAAGAACCCCGGCGAGGGGAGUGAAAAAGAACCUGAAACCGUGUACGUACAAGCAGUGGGAGCACGCUUAGGCGUGUGACUGCGUACCUUUUGUAUAAUGGGUCAGCGACUUAUAUUCUGUAGCAAGGUUAACCGAAUAGGGGAGCCGAAGGGAAACCGAGUCUUAACUGGGCGUUAAGUUGCAGGGUAUAGACCCGAAACCCGGUGAUCUAGCCAUGGGCAGGUUGAAGGUUGGGUAACACUAACUGGAGGACCGAACCGACUAAUGUUGAAAAAUUAGCGGAUGACUUGUGGCUGGGGGUGAAAGGCCAAUCAAACCGGGAGAUAGCUGGUUCUCCCCGAAAGCUAUUUAGGUAGCGCCUCGUGAAUUCAUCUCCGGGGGUAGAGCACUGUUUCGGCAAGGGGGUCAUCCCGACUUACCAACCCGAUGCAAACUGCGAAUACCGGAGAAUGUUAUCACGGGAGACACACGGCGGGUGCUAACGUCCGUCGUGAAGAGGGAAACAACCCAGACCGCCAGCUAAGGUCCCAAAGUCAUGGUUAAGUGGGAAACGAUGUGGGAAGGCCCAGACAGCCAGGAUGUUGGCUUAGAAGCAGCCAUCAUUUAAAGAAAGCGUAAUAGCUCACUGGUCGAGUCGGCCUGCGCGGAAGAUGUAACGGGGCUAAACCAUGCACCGAAGCUGCGGCAGCGACGCUUAUGCGUUGUUGGGUAGGGGAGCGUUCUGUAAGCCUGCGAAGGUGUGCUGUGAGGCAUGCUGGAGGUAUCAGAAGUGCGAAUGCUGACAUAAGUAACGAUAAAGCGGGUGAAAAGCCCGCUCGCCGGAAGACCAAGGGUUCCUGUCCAACGUUAAUCGGGGCAGGGUGAGUCGACCCCUAAGGCGAGGCCGAAAGGCGUAGUCGAUGGGAAACAGGUUAAUAUUCCUGUACUUGGUGUUACUGCGAAGGGGGGACGGAGAAGGCUAUGUUGGCCGGGCGACGGUUGUCCCGGUUUAAGCGUGUAGGCUGGUUUUCCAGGCAAAUCCGGAAAAUCAAGGCUGAGGCGUGAUGACGAGGCACUACGGUGCUGAAGCAACAAAUGCCCUGCUUCCAGGAAAAGCCUCUAAGCAUCAGGUAACAUCAAAUCGUACCCCAAACCGACACAGGUGGUCAGGUAGAGAAUACCAAGGCGCUUGAGAGAACUCGGGUGAAGGAACUAGGCAAAAUGGUGCCGUAACUUCGGGAGAAGGCACGCUGAUAUGUAGGUGAAGUCCCUCGCGGAUGGAGCUGAAAUCAGUCGAAGAUACCAGCUGGCUGCAACUGUUUAUUAAAAACACAGCACUGUGCAAACACGAAAGUGGACGUAUACGGUGUGACGCCUGCCCGGUGCCGGAAGGUUAAUUGAUGGGGUUAGCGCAAGCGAAGCUCUUGAUCGAAGCCCCGGUAAACGGCGGCCGUAACUAUAACGGUCCUAAGGUAGCGAAAUUCCUUGUCGGGUAAGUUCCGACCUGCACGAAUGGCGUAAUGAUGGCCAGGCUGUCUCCACCCGAGACUCAGUGAAAUUGAACUCGCUGUGAAGAUGCAGUGUACCCGCGGCAAGACGGAAAGACCCCGUGAACCUUUACUAUAGCUUGACACUGAACAUUGAGCCUUGAUGUGUAGGAUAGGUGGGAGGCUUUGAAGUGUGGACGCCAGUCUGCAUGGAGCCGACCUUGAAAUACCACCCUUUAAUGUUUGAUGUUCUAACGUUGACCCGUAAUCCGGGUUGCGGACAGUGUCUGGUGGGUAGUUUGACUGGGGCGGUCUCCUCCUAAAGAGUAACGGAGGAGCACGAAGGUUGGCUAAUCCUGGUCGGACAUCAGGAGGUUAGUGCAAUGGCAUAAGCCAGCUUGACUGCGAGCGUGACGGCGCGAGCAGGUGCGAAAGCAGGUCAUAGUGAUCCGGUGGUUCUGAAUGGAAGGGCCAUCGCUCAACGGAUAAAAGGUACUCCGGGGAUAACAGGCUGAUACCGCCCAAGAGUUCAUAUCGACGGCGGUGUUUGGCACCUCGAUGUCGGCUCAUCACAUCCUGGGGCUGAAGUAGGUCCCAAGGGUAUGGCUGUUCGCCAUUUAAAGUGGUACGCGAGCUGGGUUUAGAACGUCGUGAGACAGUUCGGUCCCUAUCUGCCGUGGGCGCUGGAGAACUGAGGGGGGCUGCUCCUAGUACGAGAGGACCGGAGUGGACGCAUCACUGGUGUUCGGGUUGUCAUGCCAAUGGCACUGCCCGGUAGCUAAAUGCGGAAGAGAUAAGUGCUGAAAGCAUCUAAGCACGAAACUUGCCCCGAGAUGAGUUCUCCCUGACUCCUUGAGAGUCCUGAAGGAACGUUGAAGACGACGACGUUGAUAGGCCGGGUGUGUAAGCGCAGCGAUGCGUUGAGCUAACCGGUACUAAUGAACCGUGAGGCUUAACCUUACAACGCCGAAGCUGUU
rnacentral:rRNA from 1 species